GACUCUGUAGUGAAGUUCAUGUUGAGUUGCAAGCUCAAUGAUGUGCGUUUAGUGCGUACCGGAGUCU
rnacentral:tRNA from 1 species